AUUGAACGCUGGCGGCAGGCCUAACACAUGCAAGUCGAGCGGAUGAAGGGAGCUUGCUCCUGGAUUCAGCGGCGGACGGGGGAGUAAUGCCUAGGAAUCUGCCUGGUAGUGGGGGAUAACGUCCGGAAACGGGCGCUAAUACCGCAUACGUCCUGAGGGAGAAAGUGGGGGAGCUUCGGACCUCACGCUAUCAGAUGAGCCUAGGUCGGAUUAGCUAGUUGGUGGGGUAAAGGCCUACCAAGGCGACGAUCCGUAACUGGUCUGAGAGGAUGAUCAGUCACACUGGAACUGAGACACGGUCCAGACUCCUACGGGAGGCAGCAGUGGGGAAUAUUGGACAGUGGGCGAAAGCCUGAUCCAGCCAUGCCGCGUGUGUGAAGAAGGUCUUCGGAUUGUAAAGCACUUUAAGUUGGGAGGAAGGGCAGUAAGUUAAUACCUUGCUGUUUUGACGUUACCAACAGAAUAAGCACCGGCUAACUUCGUG
rnacentral:rRNA from 1 species